CCCGCCGCUCGCCGCGACCCCUCCCCCCGCUCGCCGCGACUCCUCCCCCCGCUCGCCGCGCCUACUGAUCCACGAGCAUAUAGCCAGCGGCUCUUCCCCUGAGUCGAACUGUCACACGAAGAGGCUGCCCCCAUCCUCCACCCCUCCACUCGGUGGAGAAGACCAUCUGUGAUAUCAAACUAGCAAGAAAAACAUAACUAUAGUGUGGAGGAAGUAGAGGGAUUAGCCUUGCUGCAGGGUCUAAACUAGCAAGAAAAACAGAGCUAUAGUGCCAAGAUUGAAUUGAACCAAUUUCACCGAUUCCUCUACUGGAGUUCGUGGAGGUUCAUGUGUAAGCGCAGUGCUGGGCCAACCCUGACAAGGAGGUGCUGGGGAUCUUACAAGCUGAAUCCAAGGCCAAGCAGCCGAAUUGCAGCGAGAAGGAGGCAACGAGGACACCGACGCCAAGCCGACGACCAGGGUGGACACCAGCUCAAUCUCCGGUCAUUUCUUCCUCUGGCUUGCAGCCCAAAGCAAAUGCCUAAGAUGAAUGUCGAAUGUCAGGCGAUGGACGCGGUGGUGCUCACUUACGCGACAUGUGCUCUCUGUUGAAACAAUCAGGUCAGCUCCUACUGGCUCCCGGAUCUCAGGUGCAUCAAGGGUUGUCCAUCUUCAUUUGUGCCUUCCAAUGUUUUUGUGGUUACAAUUGAAGACGCAUGUGAUCAUGGUGGGGUGCAAGUUGGACUUGAGGGAUGACCAACAGAACAGACUUAAGCAAACGAGGGCACCCAGCAUGCAGUUGUUCCAUGAGAUGGAGACCUCCAUUGAGAUUUGAGUGCUCUACGCUUCGCCAAAUCCAGGUCAAUAAGACCGCAUUGUAUCAAUUUGCAUUGGUAACACGCAAUUAUGUCAAAUCGUUGAUUGUUCACCAUGAAACUGGAAUGCUCAAAAUGCAGAUGCGGCGUUGAUACGUCUCCGUCGUAUCUACUUUUCCGAA